CCUCCUCCCCGCUAAUCACCACGCCGCGCACGCGCCGCGCGAGGCCCGUCUUCGUUCCCCCACCGCUAAUCUCGCCGCGGCAUCCAUGGCGCUGCCCUCGCCCUCCCCCACCUAUCCACGCCGGCGCCCCCUCCCUCGCGCCCCACCUCAAUCUCCUCCAUUGCGCGCCCAAGAACGCACAGAUCCCCCAUUCCCGCGCCCCUCCCUCGUGCCUCGAUGGAAUCGCCGCAGCAUCCAUGGUAUGGUCCUCAGGAUCCACCUCCACCGCGUCGCCACAGUUCGCAGGGGCCGAGGGUGCCCCGACGGUGGGGAUUUGUACUGUGGUCAGGAGCAUGCGUGUUCAAGCAAGCACUCUUGCUCUUCGUCCACAACAAGCUCUCCAUGUGCCCUAGGCACGCGACAAAUGUUUGGGGUGGUGGGCAUUACCGUCACCUCCCUCGUGUCCCGUGCCGCCGUGGCCGGGGUCUGCUUCCUCGCCUUCCGCAAUGAGCAAUCCGCGGGGUACGCCACCUCUGCCUACGACUUCCUAACAAGCUCCCCGGGCGCCCUCAUCACCGUCUCCGGCCCAGGAUGCGUCCACAGGCUCGCGGGCCUCUCCCACGCCACCACCAACGCCUGGUCGCUCCUCAUGAUCUCCAGAUCCUGCGACCAGGCUGACGCUGGCAGGGGCGACUUCCAGGAGCUCGACUAGAUCGCCGCGGUGUCUGGUUUGCUCACGCGGUCCCUCACGCUCCACCAAACUCUGGCGCAAUUCGAGCAACUUCAGCCCUCACACUCCGUCAAUCCGAGCAACUCCAACGCAAUUCGAGCAACCCGCCCUUCACGCACCGUGCUGCACGCAGUCUCGCCCCAAUCCUCAUUGGUGUCGACUUCAUCUGCAUGGAAGCACAUUUCAGAGAUGGCCAGAUUGGCGUAGAGACACAGAACAAUUGCAACAUGUACUGGUUGUUGGUACUUCACCUGUGUUAGACGGAACACCACAAUUGCAACCUGGAAAGGAGAAUGACAAAUGUUUGAACAGCAGUGGCCAGAUAGGCGUAGAGACACAGAACACAAUAUUGUUCUCUCUACUUGAGAUGGAAGAAUUACAAGACAAGGAAUUGGAGGAUGCUUAGGAGGAUAGACAAAAAUGUGAAGCUAAAGAAAGAGAAGCUCUUAGAGCUUAUCGCAAAGCACAUAGAGCUUUACUUGAGGCAAAUGAAAGAUGUGCAAUUCUUUGUAGAAAAAGGGAGAUUUUCUCUUCACAAGUCCAUGGUUUAAUUGCAGAGAAUUCUUCUUUGGUGCAGUCUUUGAGUAUUCGGAAUCCUGAAGAUGGCCUUGCAAUGCCAUCACUGCUCAAUUCUCAAAUUCAUGCAGUUAGUCAGAUUCCUGAAAAUCAGGGUGGUAGACACAGGUUGUGUCCUGAAGAACCUUCUAAGCAGCAAAUUGAUAAGCAUGAAGAUGAAGCACGUCCACACUAUUGUGAUAAGCUUGCUGCCAGCACAGCUGAUCCCAGCUCUAUGAGUGCUGUCAAUGCUGACAACAUCCUUUCAGAUUAUAUGGAAGAUGUUCUUCUGUUCCCGACUAGAUAGACAAGAUCAGAAUGUGCUCUGGAUGUUGAGAAUCAAAUGGAAGAAACUAUACAUGUAUAUGCAUAGGAAAACAUACAAGUUCCUGGUGACGGUGGUCAGGAUUAUGAACUUUUAGAAGCUUCUUUGAGGUCUAGAUGCCACCGUCUCUGAACCAAAGCAAGAAAAAGUCUUGCCCCAUAUCUAAACAGAACAGAUAAUUUGCAAUAAAAGAUAAGCAAUUCCAUGUGCAAGAAAAUACAUUGACUAAAUUUCUUUGGCUCGACGCUUAAGAAAUCUCGUCCUUCCAUGGUUUUUGCCAUCCGCUAGAAACAAAGAAAAGCUACCACUCACUGAAAGUCUGAAACCAAAUUCAGAUCGCAAAUAAAGGACCCGUCUGAAGGUUAUGCUACCUGGACAUAGAACAUACCAUGAGACUUGCUUCUCUGCCUCUGUGGGAUAUAAACAUAACCUAUGCCAAUGACCAGAAAUCAGAUGACACAAAGUUUCUCAACUGUAAUCAGUUGACGAUAUCACUUCAUCAUCAGGUGGAAGAGACUUUGUUCAAACAAACUAAGCUGUUUACGUGUAUUUGUUCCUUCCACAUCGUGAUCCGGGUUGCGGAGAUUUUGAAAGUCUUAGACAUCGCCGGUGAGCGCAGCCUCAUCGACAACUUUGUCUGAAGCUAAUAGGUGUGGAAUUCAAGACUGCACUUCAUGAAAAGUGGGUAGCCGCUGAGCUAGAAGAUUAAGCUGGAACUGCAGUGAGUCGAGCAAUUGCAGAGCAUCCUGUGCAGAACCAUUAAAUCUUGGAAGAGAAGUUGCUUCCUCUAUUCCUUUCUCUUUUUUUCCACAUGAUUCAAUUGCAGCAAUGCUCUCCUCAAGCUGUGAAACAUAUUAUGGAAAGAACUAAACUGUGAACUAGAUGUUUGUUUCAAACUGGUUGUGAACUGAAAGAGUGAACAAAUGUAUGUUUCAAUC